GAGACCAACUGUUUCUGUCGCCGCUGGUAUUGAUGAAGUUCUCUCCUCCGCCGCUUUCUGAUGACAUCAGAUCUCUGCCAUGUUGGUAUCCUAUGCGAAUGGCAGCAUUUCGUUCCCUUUGCUGGGUAACCAAAGCAACGGGUGAGUCCUGACCGGCCCUCAUCAGGAUCCGGACCGAGAAGCAGUUUCCGCGGGCUCCUUAGCCCUGGGCCAGAGCAGUUCUGGGAGCCGGAACUCGGCCGCUCCGUGCUCGGUGUAUGCUCUGAUAAGAGCAGGCUCCAAGAAGCACUCAGGCACUGAGCCUGAGUAAUCUGUCUGCAAGCCGCAGGCGAAUGGCAGCCUGAAAUUACCUGUUCUAUGGCUGAAUGAGCUGCGGUCAGUCGAAAACAGGGAUGGUGACGUCAGCUCUCCAAGAUGGUGGCCGCUGGCCUCCUCUCUGGUCUGACCGGUGUGGAGAACCGAAAUGGACUGCUUCCUUCCCCCAUCUCGAACCCAGAAUUCAGCACUGAGUACGGUGCUUGCACGGCUGGCAGAAACUGCAGCGCUGUAUCCCUGCACCACUAUCUCCUCCUCGUUUCCCAGUGUGCGCUGCAGACUCUGGCCGCGGGGCGAUUUGCUGAAUAAGCAGUGUUACCCUCCGUGUGACAAAUCUCUCGCGUUUGAGUCCCCGUAGCCGAUCCUCGUGAGAUGGAAAUCCUUCCUCCAGGUUCCGGAGCACCCCACUAUUGCUG
rnacentral:lncRNA from 1 species